UCCUUGGUAGCUCAGAUGGUAAAGAAUCUGCCUGCAAUGCAGAAGACCCAGGUUCAAUCCCUGGAUCAGGAA
rnacentral:tRNA from 1 species